rnacentral:rRNA from 1 species
AGUGAACGCUGGCGGUAGGCCUAACACAUGCAAGUCGAACGGCAGCACAGUAAGAGCUUGCUCUUACGGGUGGCGAGUGGCGGACGGGUGAGGAAUACAUCGGAAUCUACUUUUUCGUGGAGGAUAACGUAGGGAAACUUACGCUAAUACCGCAUACGACCUACGGGUGAAAGCAGGGGAUCUUCGGACCUUUCGCGAUUGAAUGAGCCGAUGUCGGAUUAGCUAGUUGGCGGGGUAAAGGCCCACCAAGGCGACGAUCCGUAGCUGGUCUGAGAGGAUGAUCAGCCACACUGGAACUGAGACACGGUCCAGACUCCUACGGGAGGCAGCAGUGGGGAAUAUUGGACAAUGGGCGCAAGCCUGAUCCAGCCAUACCGCGUGGGUGAAGAAGGCCUUCGGGUUGUAAAGCCCUUUUGUUGGGAAAGAAAAGCAGCAGGUUAAUACCCCGCUGUUCUGACGGUACCCAAAGAAUAAGCACCGGCUAACUUCGUG